rnacentral:rRNA from 1 species
AUGCAGUCGAGCGGUAACAGAUCUAGCUUGCUAGAUGCUGACGAGCGGCGGACGGGUGAGUAAUGCAUAGGAAUCUGCCCGAUAGUGGGGGAUAACCUGGGGAAACCCAGGCUAAUACCGCAUACGUCCUACGGGAGAAAGGGGGCUCCGGCUCCCGCUAUUGGAUGAGCCUAUGUCGGAUUAGCUAGUUGGUGAGGUAAUGGCUCACCAAGGCAACGAUCCGUAGCUGGUCUGAGAGGAUGAUCAGCCACAUCGGGACUGAGACACGGCCCGAACUCCUACGGGAGGCAGCAGUGGGGAAUAUUGGACAAUGGGGGGAACCCUGAUCCAGCCAUGCCGCGUGUGUGAAGAAGGCCCUCGGGUUGUAAAGCACUUUCAGCGAGGAAGAACGCCUAGGGGUUAAUACCCCCUAGGAAAGACAUCACUCGCAGAAGAAGCACCGGCUAACUCCGUGCCAGCAGCCGCGGUAAUACGGAGGGUGCAAGCGUUAAUCGGAAUUACUGGGCGUAAAGCGCGCGUAGGUGGCUUGAUAAGCCGGUUGUGAAAGCCCCGGGCUCAACCUGGGAACGGCAUCCGGAACUGUCAAGCUAGAGUGCAGGAGAGGAAGGUAGAAUUCCCGGUGUAGCGGUGAAAUGCGUAGAGAUCGGGAGGAAUACCAGUGGCGAAGGCGGCCUUCUGGACUGACACUGACACUGAGGUGC